CGCAGUCCUACACUGCGGCACUCGCGCUGUUUACCUCACAUCUCAGCUCCGUAGGUGAGUCACGUCGGUUCUGCGCUCUUGGCCGCCUCCAAGGCCUUCGGUCUCCUUUAACUCGGGAAACCCAGGACCCCGGAGGCUAGUAUGUGGGUUUGAUCCUCCCACCCUUGCUGGCUGUGGACUUCUCGAGGGUUCUCGGAUUGUUGUCCUGCGAUCCGAUGUGCAUCCUUUCAAGUUGAUGCCCAGGACCCUAGGACGCACUCCGGUGUGGCUCCUUGAGGUGAAACCCCAUUCCCAGUGCUUGCUUCCCUGCCGGGCCUUAGCUGGGAGACCCUCUUGACACCACGAAGGAUGAUGAAGCUGGUCUGCGGCAGCCAACGCUCCUCCCCGCGACUCUUCGCACUCUCAGGUGGGAGCCACAGUCCAGGAAGCAGGAGUCCGGAACUGACACCUUGGUGCAGAGGGGCCACGAGAGGCAUCUCUAUCCCUAUCCCGACAGGAAGCAGCGGGACAGCAGCGCUCCCAUGGUAAGGAGCAUUCUCACUGCCAUCAGUGAGGGAGGAUCAAAUCAGUAAGACAGCGCAGGGAAUGGGGCACUGAACGUCUCACCAUGAUCGCCUGCAGGAGUCUCUCUCAGGCUAUGUUGGUGGUGUCCGUGGGUGCCACAUAGCGAGGAGAACAAGGUUGCUGUCACACUGUGUGCCCCCCCCAGACCUUACUGCCCACCAUGGAGGAACACCUUUUCACUUUGGUGAGUAUGCAGAGGGAAGGGCUUUGACUCUAGAGACUUGGGGAACAAAGUUAUCCCCUUAGAGCCACAGAAUGCCAUGUGGCACCAAGGUCCUUGUUCUCACAGGUGAGCACCAAGGUGAAACCAGGAAUAUUAAACACGCAGGGUCGUCUCUUCAAAGGGAGAGAUGUAUAACUGUUUUCCACCCAGAAGGCUGGGAGUGGAUGUGUUUAAUAUUCUGCUGACCUUUGUGCUAUCUGUAUGACCAAGACCAAGCCAGAGCCUCCCCUAGAUCCUUAAGAUGUGACUUGUGGUCAAUCAGUGGGGUGUGUGUGUGUGGUAAUAAUGUCUUUAAUUCCAGCUUUUGUAUGGCAGAGGCAGAUGGAUCUCUGAGUUCGAGGCUAGCCUGGUCUACAGAGUGAGUCCAGGACAGCCAGGGCUACACAGAGAAACUUUCUGUCUUGAAAAACCAAAAACAAAUAAAUAAAAAUUUAAAAAACUGUCUCGUGUAGUCAAUCUAUAGAACCCAUCAUUAUGGAGAUGUCACAUGUACUUUAUUGUGCACACAGGAUUGUGUUAUCACCAGAAAACUGUUUCACCAAAUUUUGCUGUGCUUAAAUAUGCCUAAAAUAAACUACCUGGUGUCAGACUCUUGAAGUUUGAACCAACACUUAGCCGGGCGUUGGUGGCGCACGCCUUUAAUCCCAGCACUUUGGGAGGCAGAGACAGG